rnacentral:lncRNA from 1 species
AACAGUGAUGCAUAGUAUACUUAUUAAAACACAUCAUCCAUUAUAGGUGCAAGGCUGUCAAACUGUUGUCUUUUUUUUUUUUGAAUCAGUGUCAACUGUCAAACUGGUAUCUAACAGAAAUCAAACUUGGUUUCUUCUUCAUUGCAAGAACAGAAUUCUAGGUCAAACCUAAUGUAAGUAUAGACCAGAAAAUACAAUUGAUAUCUCCAGGGAAAUUCGACAACCUCUGGACUUCACAAGUCCCCUCCUAUCAUAAAAUAUUUAUCUCCUAAUCUUGUGUUUGUAUUUUUGGAGUUCAAAGACUAGUAAUCAUUCCAUUGGCCCAGAUAUUAAAACAAAUUCCUACCUUUCCACAUUGAGAAGUUUCUACCACUUGGUGGUCAAUUAAGUGCAUUGAUGUCGCUCUUUACCAGUGUUGAUUUUACUUACAUCAAAGGUCAGCCUAAAUCUUGAUUCAAAGGCAAAAAGGGGAGACAAAAUGGAGGCUCCCAGACAUUUACCUGUCAUCCAAGCUACGCUCAAUGUCAAAUUGGAAAAUUGAAAUUCGUCUAGGCGAAAGUUCAAUGCUUUCUCCUCUCCUUGCUUUG